rnacentral:rRNA from 1 species
GACGGAAGGUGCAAGCGUUGCUCGGAAUCACUGGGCGUAAAGGGUGCGUAGGCGGCUUGGUAAGUUGGGUGUGAAAGCCCCGGGCUCAGCCCGGGAAGGGCACUCGAAACUGCCGAGCUGGAGUGCCGGAGGGGAGAGUGGAAUUCCUGGUGUGGCGGUGAAAUGCGUAGAUAUCAGGAGGAAUACCGGUGGCGAAAGCGACUCUCUGGACGGCAACUGACGCUGAGGCACGAAAGCGUGGGGAGCAAACAGG